rnacentral:lncRNA from 1 species
GAGGAGGAAGAAGCGUAAGCGCGGCAGCGGCGGGGAGCUGAAGGAGUUGGGCUUGACGAGCGAUGAUGAUAGCGAUGACAACGAGUGGGGGACCUCCGACGACGGCGAGGACUCCGAGGGAGAGGCCGACUUCGAGGAGGACGGCGUGGCAGGCCCCAUGGGUGCGACCCUCAUGCCAUCUUUCUCCAUCAGUAUUGCAUUGGAAUCAUCUUUCUCCCUUUCAAACUAGUUCCCCAUGCUGCAGAGGGAUGGGAAUUCAAAAGGAAAUUGAGCCAGGCCUGUCUGCACAUCCUAGCAUGUUAUGGAGGUAGCUGCCCCAUACAGAGCUCAUUUGCUGCCUUGAGGCCCAAAGGGCUACACAGAGAUGUGCGUGGGGCCGAGUGAUGCUGUAAGGUCCAGUGACAUGCAAAGAAUCAUGUGUGGGGGCAAGGGGUGCAGCGAGCAAAGUUGAGAGGCGUUUAUAUUGUGCGCAGGGAUGGCGGUGUCGUUUCUGGCGCGGCAGAAGGGGCGGCUGGCGGCGAGCAAGCAGCGGCGUGUGGCCCAUGUGUGCGGGCAGGCUGUGGAGGGAACCCUGGCGCGCCUGGCCGCCGCCGGGCUCGACACGGCCGCCCUGCCGUGCGCCCCUGUCUGCAUCUUUCCGAGUGGCUCUAGAUGCUACAAUGCUUGCGUUCUGUAAUAUUUUGCGACGUGAGCCAGAAUGUCUUGUUGCACUCUGAUGAUCACGAGACAGCCUGACAUGCGCCCCUGUUGGGUCAUUCUGACUGGCUUCAAUUGCUACCUGACUGGCAUUAAUGGUACCGAAGCUGCUGCACUCUUCAGAUCAUCUUGAGCAAAUUUUCCUUCCCUGUAGCAGAUUUACUCUUGUGCUGUGGAGAAUAUGGAACCGUCUCAGGCGUCAGCUGCUACCAGCUGCCAGCAUAAGUGUUCUGAAGCAGUGGGGCAUCAGUUUCUGGCAAGCUAAUGGAGUAUGGGCGAAUUGCAGGGGUGUGAGGUUGGCGUGUGAGGCGGUGAAGGCAGCGGCAGCAAAGCUGAGCCGCCAGGCAGAACCGCAGGCAAAUCAGAAGGCUAAGAGGGACACGGAGCAGGCUCUGCAGCACCUUGCAGAAGCUGUUGAGGCUCUGCAGUGAUAUGCAGCAAUAUCCACAGGAGAUUCGGGCUGAAAGAUUGCGAGUGCAUGCGCACAUAUUGCUAGAGAUCUCUAGAUGUCAUUCUAUUGCGAGCAGUUCUGCUAUUCGGUAUCUAUGAAUAAAUCUGCAUGGUAUAUAUUCAGAUUGAAUGUUGUGGCAAUGUAAUCCCAGUAUCAAUCGUUGCCUCUACAUGUAAGAGCUGUGAAAUUCAAAAUUUGGUGUGCCAUUCAU